rnacentral:rRNA from 1 species
AUUGAACGCUGGCGGCAGGCCUAACACAUGCAAGUCGAGCGGAGCGGCGGACGGGUGCGUAAUGCUUAGGCAUCUGCCUGUUAGUGGGGGAUAACGACCAGUAACGGGCGCUAAUACCACAUCCUAUCAGAUGAGCCUCGGUCGGAUUCGCUGGUUGGUGGGGUAAAGGCCUACCAAGGCGACGAUCCGUAACUGGUCGGAGAGGAUGAUCAGCCACACUGGAACGGAGACACGGUCCAGACUCCUACGGGAGGCAGCAGUGGGGAAUAUUGGACAAUGGGCGCAAGCCUGAUCCAGCCAUGCCGCGUGUGUGAAGAAGGUCUUCGGAUUGUAAAGCACUUUAAGUAGGGAGGCGUUACCAACAGAAUAAGCACCGGCUAACUACGUGCCAGCAGCCGCGGUAAUUC